rnacentral:rRNA from 1 species
UACGUAGGGAGCAAGCGUUGUCCAGAAUCAUUGGGCGUAAAGCGCGUGUAGGUGGCGAUGUAAGUCGGGUGUGAAAUCCCUCGGCUCAACCGAGGAAGUGCACUCGAUACUGUGUCGCUUGAGUGUUGGAGGGAUGGCGGAAUUCCCGGUGUAGAGGUGAAAUUCGUAGAUAUCGGGAGGAACACCUGUGGCGAAGGCGGCCAUCUGGACAACUACUGACACUGAGACGCGAAAGCGUGGGUAGCAAACAGG